CCUACGGGGGGCAGCAGUAGGGAAUAUUGCUCAAUGGGGGAAACCCUGAAGCAGCAACGCCGCGUGGAGGAUGAAGGUUUUCGGAUUGUAAACUCCUUUUGUUAGAGAAGAGAAUGACGGUAUCUAACGAAUAAGCACCGGCUAACGCCGUGCCAGCAGCCGCGGUAAUACGGAGGGUGCAAGCGUUACUCGGAAUCACGGGGCGUAAAGAGCGCGUAGGCGGGAUAGCCAGUAAGAUGUGAAAUCCUAUGGCUUAACCAUAGAACUGCAUUUGAAACUGUUAUUCUAGAGUAUGGGAGAGGUAGGUGGAAUUCUUGGUGUAGGGGUCAAAUCCGUAGAUUUCAAGAGGACUACUCAUUGCGAAGGCGACCUGCUAGAACAUAACUGCCGCUGAUGCGCGAAAGCGUGGUGAGCAAACCGGAUUAGAUACCCGAGUAGUC
rnacentral:rRNA from 1 species